ACAACACACGCAGUCACACAAAUGUGUAAACAUAUCAAUCUAGUCAUCCGACUAGUUAUAUGCUCACGCAGCCAGUCACACAAAUGGCACAUCACCAGCACUCACAAUCAUUAACAUCUUCAUAUAAUCACAUCACGUGGAAAUUAGUCAGUGGCGCCACCUGAAACCCCAACGAGCCGUCCUUACACAUGGCUCGCCCUCUCAUACAUGUGCACCAGGGAGCUGAUCCCCCAUACGGCCAACUGGUC
rnacentral:lncRNA from 1 species